rnacentral:rRNA from 1 species
CGCGGUUAUACGAAAGGCCCUAAAUAACGACAAACCGGCGUAAAAUGUGACUAGAGAUCUAUAAUAUUUUAAAUAUUAAAAUUCAUUAGCCUAGUUGUAAAACACUUAGACAAUGGAGAAAACCAGCACAAAUAUUCUUAAUAUUAUAUUCUUGAUUACACGAAAGCUUAGAAACAAACUAGGAUUAGAUACCCUACUAUGCUAAGGCCUGAACAUUGAAAGUUACCUAUACUUUACUUUCCGCCAGAGAACUACGAGUGAAAAACUUAAAACUCAAAGGACUUGACGGUGUCCCAUAUCGG